GAUGAAGAACGUAGUGAAAUGCGAUAAGUAAUGUGAAUUGCAGAAUUCAGUGAAUCAUCGAAUCUGUGAACGCACAUUGCGCCCCCUGGUAUUCCGGGGGGCAUGCCUGUUCGAGCGUCAUUACAACCCUCAAGCUCUGCUUGGUAUUGGGCCCCGCCAGUUCUGGCGGGCCCUAAAGUCAGUGGCGGUGCCUUCCGGCUCCGAGCGUAGUAAUUCUUCUCGCUCUGGAGACCCGGUUGUGUGCUUGCCAACAACCCCCAAUUUUUUAAGGUUGACCUCGGAUCAGGUAGGGAUACCAGCUGAACUUAAGCAUAUCAAUAAGCGGAGGA
rnacentral:misc_RNA from 1 species